GCCAAUACUAGCCCUAAGCAUAACCGACACUAAUACCAAACCAACAUGCACUAAACCAUUCACCUACACAAAGUAUAGGCGAUAGAAAUUUUAAUCUGGCGCUAUAGACGCAGUACCGUAAGGGAAAGAUAAAAACCACCCAAGCACAAAACAGCAAGGACUAACUCCUGUACCUUUCGCAUAAUGAAUUAGCUAGAAACAAUUUCACAAAGAGGACUAUAAGCCAAAUUCCCCGAAACCAGACGAGCUACCCAAAAACAGCUAAAAGAGCGCACCCAUCUAUGUGGCAAAAUAGUGGGAAGAUUUCUGGGUAGAGGUGACAAGCCUAUCGAGCCUGGUGAUAGCUGGUUAUCCAAGACAGAAUCUUAGUUCAACCUUAAGCUUACCUAUAGAACCACCUAAUCCCCCUGUAAGCUUAAUUGCUAGUCUAAAGAGGGACAGCUCUUUAGACACUAGGAAAAAACCUUAUAGAGAGAGUAAAACCCUCAAUUACCACAGUUGGCUUAAAAGCAGCCAUCAAUUAAGAAAGCGUUCAAGCUCAACACUAAUCACCCCAAAAAUACCAAACACAUAACUGAACUCCUCACACCACAUUGGAUUAAUCUAUCACCAUAUAGAAGCAAUAAUGCUAGUAUAAGUAACAUGAAUAUUUUCUCCACUGCAUAAGCCCAAAUCGGAUCGAAAACCUCACCGAUACCUAACAGCCAGGCAUAGCAAGCACAAACAAGCCCAUGCUACCUUCACUGUUAACCCAACACAGGCAUGCCUCAAGGAAAGGUUAAAAAAAGUAAAAGGAACUCGGCAAACUUAAACCCCGCCUGUUUACCAAAAACAUCACCUCUAGCAUUACUAGUAUUAGAGGCACUGCCUGCCCAGUGACACACGUUUAACGGCCG
rnacentral:rRNA from 1 species